rnacentral:rRNA from 1 species
UACGUAGGCAGCGAGCGUUGUUCGGAAUUACUGGGCGUAAGGAGUGUGUAGGCGGUGCUCUAAGUUCGGUGUGAAAUCUCCUGGCUUAACUGGGAGGGUGCGCCGGAAACUGGAGUGCUCGAGCGUGGGAGAGGAAAGCGGAAUUCCUGGUGUAGCGGUGAAAUGCGUAGAUAUCAGGAGGAACACCUGUGGUGUAGACGGCUUUCUGGACCAUAGCUGACGCUGAGACACGAAAGCGUGGGUAGCAAACAGG